rnacentral:rRNA from 1 species
GACGAACGCUGGCGGCGUGCUUCACACACGCAAGUCGAACGAUGAAGCUGGAGCUUGCUCUAGCGGAUUAGUGGCGAACGGGUGAGUAACACGUGAGCAAUCUGCCCUUGACUCUGGGAUAACUUCGGGAAACUGUAGCUAAUACCGGAUACUUUCACCGGGGGGCAUCCUCUGGUGAUGAAAGAAUUUCGGUAAAGGAUGAGCUCCCGGCCUAUCAGCUUGUUGGUGAGGUAACGGCUCACCAAGGCGACGACGGGUAACCGGCCGGAGAGGUUGACCGGCCACACUGGGACUGAGACACGGCCCAGACUCCUACGCGAGGCAGCAGUGGGGAAUAUUGCACAAUGGGCGCAAGCCUGAUGCAGCAACGCCGCGUGAGGGAUGAAGGCCUUCGGGUUGUAAACCUCUUUUAGCAGGGAAGAAGCGAAAGUGACGGUACCUGCAGAAAAAGCACCGGCUAACUACGUGCCAGCCGCCGCGGUAA